rnacentral:rRNA from 1 species
GAUGAACGCUGGCGGCGUGCCUAACACAUGCAAGUCGAACGAAGCUUGACGGAUGAUUUCUUCGGAAUGAAACCUGAUAUGACUUAGUGGCGGACGGGUGAGUAACACGUGAGCAACCUGCCUUUCAGAGGGGGAUAACGGCUGGAAACGGUCGCUAAUACCGCAUACGUUCCGUGCGAGAGCACGGAGGAAAGCAGCAAUGCGCGGUGGGACGGGCCUGCGGCCCAUCAGGUGGUUGGUGGGGUAAUGGCCUACCAAGCCGAUGACGGGUAGCUGGUCUGUGAGGACAACCAGCCAGACUGGGACUGAGACAGGCCCAGACUCCUACGGGAGGCAGCAGCAAGGAAUUUCCCCAAUGGGCGCAAGCCUGAGGGGAGCAACGCCGCGUGCAGGACGAC